UACGUAGGGGGCUAGCGUUGUCCGGAAUUACUGGGCGUAAAGCGUGCGCAGGCGGUUAUGUAAGACAGGUGUGAAAUCCCCGGGCUUAACCUGGGAACUGCAUUUGUGACUGCAUAGCUAGAGUACGGUAGAGGGGGAUGGAAUUCCGCGUGUAGCAGUGAAAUGCGUAGAUAUGCGGAGGAACACCGAUGGCGAAGGCAAUCCCCUGGACCUGUACUGACGCUCAUGCACGAAAGCGUGGGGAGCAAACAGG
rnacentral:rRNA from 1 species